rnacentral:rRNA from 1 species
GAUGAACGCUGGCGGCGUGCCUAAUACAUGCAAGUCGAGCGAACGGACGAGAAGCUUGCUUCUCUGAUGUUAGCGGCGGACGGGUGAGUAACACGUGGAUAACCUACCUAUAAGACUGGGAUAACUUCGGGAAACCGGAGCUAAUACCGGAUAAUAUUUUGAACCGCAUGGUUCAAAAGUGAAAGACGGUCUUGCUGUCACUUAUAGAUGGAUCCGCGCUGCAUUAGCUAGUUGGUAAGGUAACGGCUUACCAAGGCAACGAUGCAUAGCCGACCUGAGAGGGUGAUCGGCCACACUGGAACUGAGACACGGUCCAGACUCCUACGGGAGGCAGCAGUGGGGAAUCUUCCGCAAUGGGCGAAAGCCUGACGGAGCAACGCCGCGUGGGUGAUGAAGGUCUUCGGAUCGUAAAACUCUGUUAUUAGGGAAGAACAUAUGUGUAAGUAACUGUGCACAUCUUGACGGUACCUAAUCAGAAAGCCACGGCUAACUACGUG